AACCAAUUGCCUUGACCUCCCCAGCAACUUCCUUGUGUCUGUGAUGCGUCUUUGAAUCCCAGCUUUCAUGAUAGAGGUGUAGAGCUUCCAUGUCUCCCCCUCAGCGCUAAUUAUGUUGUUCCCAAGGAAAGUUCCAAUAACACUGAAAGGAAUCCUUUUAUGAUUUCCCGCUUUCGGAAAGACUUGCUCAUUCCUGAGGAGGUCGUUGAUAUAUUCCGGCUUCCCUAGAAGCACGGUCCAUUGGGACGAGACCCAGAACUUGACAGCUCCAUAUUUUUCUAGUGGCUCCCGCAGCCAAAGGUCAUAUAUCUUAUCCUGGCCAAGGUCAACGAAAUGUGCGAUGCCGGAUACGUAAAAUGGAACCGUGGGGAUAUUUUUGGGCAUGUGGGAUGGGACGCGAAGGUACCACCAAACGGUGAUGGCAAAUAGGACUGCAGCAGCCCCUACGCAUGCAAGGAAAGCCAUGUCGCGAGAAUGUUACCAAUUUCAGAAUCGGUUUGCCGCAAGCGCAGUGUCCGGAACAGAAAAGUGAGGAACGGAAAUGAAUUCAGUUCGUUUCAUCCACAAUAGGGGUAGAAGAAAUA
rnacentral:sRNA from 1 species